rnacentral:rRNA from 1 species
UAACGGCGAGUGAAGCGGCAACAGCUCAAAUUUGAAAUCUGGCUCCUUCGGGGUCCGAGUUGUAAUUUGCAGAGGAUGCUUCGAGUUAUGGUUCCUUCCGAGUUCCCUGGAACGGGACGCCAUAGAGGGUGAGAGCCCCGUCUGGUAGGAAACCAUGCUCAUGUGAAGCUCCCUCGACGAGUCGAGUAGUUUGGGAAUGCUGCUCUAAGGGGAGGUAUACUCCUUCCAAGGCUAAAUACCGGCUAGAGACCGAUAGCGCACAAGUAGAGUGAUCGAAAGAUGAAAAGUACUUUGAAAAGAGAGUCAAACAGCACGUGAAAUUGUUAAAAGGGAAGCGCUCGCUACCAGACGUGGGUUCGGUGGUUCAACCAGGUCCAUGACCUGGGGCACUCCGCCGGCCCAGGCCAGCAUCAGCUUUCCGUCGGGGGCAAAGGCGUCGGGAAUGUGGCUCUCCUUCGGGGGAGUGUUAUAGCCCGUCGCGUCAUACCCUUCGGGGGGCUGAGGUACGCGCUCCGCAAGGAUGCUGGCGUAAUGGUAGCUAGUGACCCGUCUUGAAACACGGACCAAGGAGUCAACCUUAUGUGCGAGUGCCCGGGCGUAAAACCCCAGCGCGGAAUGAAAGUGAACGUAGGUGAGAGCUUCGGCGCAUCACCGACCGAUCCUGAUGUCCUCGGACGGAUUUGAGUGAGAGCAUAUAGGGUUGGACCCGAAAGAAGAUGAACUAUGCGUGUGUAGGGUGAAGCCAGAGGAAACUCUGGUGGAGGCUCGCAGCGGUUCUGACGUGCAAAUCGAUCGUCAAACAUGCGCAUGGGGGCGAAAGACUAAUCGAAUCUUCUGGUAGCUGGUUUCCGCCGAAGUUUCCCUCAGGAUAGCAGUGUUGAUCCCAGUUUUAUGAGGUAAAGCGAAUGAUUAGGGACUCGGGGGCGCUAUUUAGCCUUCAUCCAUUCUCAAACUUUAAAUAUGUAAGAAGUCCCCGUUACUUUAUUGAACGCGGACGCUGGAAUGAAACAACACUAGUGGGCCA